GCACCCAGGAGAAUUGGUUGCCGUGGCGGCGGCCCGGCCAUGGAGGCCAAAGGUGGCAGUGGGCCUGGCCUGGCCGCAGAGGCAAGGCCCAGGAGGAGGAACGCAGUAGACUGUUUCCCUUUGGAUAUUUUCAUGGACCCUCAUAGAAAAGUUAAGUCAAAACUUGGCAAGGCCUUUAAAACAAUGGCUAUACCUUUUCAUAUAGCUGGCUAUCAAAAGAUGUAAAAUCUCCUAAGCAAAAAGAAGUGACCAUUUAAAGGACCUGAAUUGUUGACAUUCCUCAAAGGAUGACACCUGAACCACAGCUUCAACGACAAAGCCCCUGAACUACGAGCCAGGAUAUUACUCUCAUGUGACGGAGAAUAUAAUAAGGAAAAAAAAUUUCUUUUGAAAAAAAUGAACAGAGAUACUUUUGUGCAAUUUCUUGAUUCCGAGAAGGGACCUUUAUGGGAGCACACUGAAAAGCUGCACUUAAGACAUGAAAGAAGCUUGUGGGCUGAAAUUUGGUGAUCUAAUAAAGGGCAUUGCUGA